AUUGAACGCUGGCGGCAGGCUUAACACAUGCAAGUCGAGCGGAGAGAGGUAGCUUGCUACUGAUCUUAGCGGCGGACGGGUGAGUAAUGCUUAGGAAUCUGCCUAUUAGUGGGGGACAACAUUUCGAAAGGAAUGCUAAUACCGCAUACGUCCUACGGGAGAAAGCAGGGGAUCUUCGGACCUUGCGCUAAUAGAUGAGCCUAAGUCGGAUUAGCUAGUUGGUGGGGUAAAGGCCUACCAAGGCGACGAUCUGUAGCGGGUCUGAGAGGAUGGUCCGCCACACUGGGACUGAGACACGGCCCAGCCUCCUACGGGAGGCAGCAGUGGGGAAUAUUGGACAAUGGGCGCAAGCCUGAUCCAGCCAUGCCGCGUGUGUGAAGAAGGCUUAUGGUUGUAAAGCACUUUAAGCGAGGAGGAGGCUACUCUAGUUAAUACCUAGAGAUAGUGGACGUUACUCGCAGAAUAAGCACCGGCUAACUCUGUGCCAGCAGCCGCCGUAACAC
rnacentral:rRNA from 1 species